rnacentral:lncRNA from 1 species
ACAACCCAAACAACUUGUUUAAGCUUCUUGAACUUUGAUUUUGUGUUGUCCUUAAAAUUAAUUGAUAAAGUGAAAGCACAAGGGUGAAAAUACAUUAAGGGUGUAUUUGAUUACAUUUAUUUUCCAUGAAAAAUAUUAGUUUUCAACCCAAAUUCCUAUUUAGAGUGUUUUAUUACUAUUUUUUUCUAUGAUAAAUAUUUUCCAACUUUCGAAAAUAUACCUAAUUUUCCUUAUUUUUAAGGAAAACAUUUUUUUUGGGUAGAAGUGAUUUUUAUUUUCCACAAAAUAUGGAAAACAUUUUUUUUCUAGGUGAUAUUUUCCAUGCCAAUCAAACACACUCUAAAUGAAAACUGGUCCAAAAUCAUAUUGAAUAUGAGAAAAAUCACCUUACAUAACAUCUCCUAAUAUAAUUCUCGAUGCAGCAAAACAAAAUAUAAAUAAUAAUUCAUGUUCUGAUCCUCAGAAAAUAAGCUAAUAG